rnacentral:misc_RNA from 1 species
GAUGAAGAACGCAGCGAAAUGCGAUAAGUAAUGCGAAUUGCAGAAUCCGUGAAUCAUCGAAUCUUUGAACGCACAUUGCGCCUCCUGGUAUUCCGGGAGGCAUGCCUGUUCGAGCGUCAUCAAAAACCUCAACCCAUGAUUUAUUGUGAGUUGGUUCUGCAUUGGACUCCUUGUGGGUCCUUUGCGAAAUCCAAUGGCGAAGAGCCACGCAACCAAAGCGUAGUAUAACUAUUUCGUUAUGGAAGCGUGGGUGCCUCUGCCGUAACCCCCAAUUUCUUAGUUUUUGACCUCGGAUCAGGUAGGGAUACCCGCUGAACUUAAGCAUAUCAAUAAGCGGAGGA